AUGGAUGAAACACCAACUAGUUCUGGGCGAUCUGAAGCUACUUCAUGUGAACCUAGUUGGUGGCCGCCAGACUUUUUGGAGAAGAUAGAAUCUGUCGCCUUAGCAAGAGAACAAGAAGUUUUGGCUGAAAAAGAAUCGCGAUCCAGUCUGUCAAAUUCAAGGUCCUCAUCCUGGAAGGCUUCUCAGUUACUGUGGUCAACUGGAACUUAUUCAGGGUUCAUUCCAAACGGUUUCUAUUCGAUCAUCCCGGAUAAAAAGCUGAAGGAGAGUUUCCCAACAAUACCAUCACUAACUGACCUUCAAAGUCUUGAAGCAGAUGGGCUUAAGCCUGAAAUAAUUGUUGUAGAUGCUGAAAAGGAUAAGAAGAUUUUCAUGUUGAAGCAGCUUAGUGGCGCACUUGUGAAAGGAUUGAACAAUCCAGCUCUAGUGAUAAAGAAGAUAGCAGGUUUGGUUUUUGACUGCUUCAAGGGCCAAAGCUCUGAUGCAAGUCCAGGAAGAGCUUCAACCGAAGAUACUCACUUCUUUGGAAAUAGAGGACCCCAACUUCUUGGGCAGAUAAGGCAUGGGUCAUGCCGACCCCGAGCUAUCCUAUUUAAAGUUCUUGCAGAUGCUGUUGGCCUUGAGAGUAAACUUGUUGUGGGUCUACCUGAUGACGGUGCAGUUGGAUUUGUGGACUCCUACAAACAUAUGUCUGUGGUAGUUCCGCUGAAUUCUAUGGAGCUACUAGUUGACCUUAUGCGAUUUCCCGGCCAGUUGAUUCCUUUUUCAGCCAAGGCCAUCUUUAUAUCACAUAUCUCUGCUGCGGGUGAGAGUGAUUCAGCUGAAAAUGACUCGUGUGAUUCUCCCCUGGAGCCCAACAGUCCUCUAUAUGGAUUAUCUGAUAAAGUUGAAGCUGAAGGAAUCGAAGCUUCAUCAAAUCUAUCUGGGCGUUCAUUGCGUAAUACAAUGUUGAGAUCGAGAACAUUCUCAGAGGGGAAAUUAAGCACAUCAUGUAGUGAGCCAAACAUCGCAAAUGCCUUCUGGAGGCGAAGCCAGAGGAGAGGAGUUGCUGAAGAACCUCGUGGUGCUAGCUCAAGUCCUGAGCAUCCGUUAAUGAGGGCCAAGGGAAGAUCUAUACUUGGUGGUGACCGGCAAUCAUUUCAAGAAUACACCGAUAGAGUUACUUUAAGAUCAGAUGAUCAGGGUGUCACUACUACACCGAACCCUCGAAGAAUAAGACGAAGAAGCAUUAGCAUCACACCUGAGAUUGGAGAUGACAUUGUGAGGGCAGUUCGGGCUAUGAAUGAAACACUAAAGCAGAAUCGCCUCCAAAGGGAUCAUGUUAAUGAUGGUUCAUGUUCAUAUAUUGGGGCGGACGAAAGCAAUGCAAAUGACUGCCCAAAUAAUGAUGAUAAAUCUGGGACGAACAAUGGCUUGAGAAACCGAGCUGGUUCUACUCAGAAGGCUAUGUCAUUGCCUACUUCUCCUCAUGACUAUGGGGGCGAAAUUUCUGAAACAAGCAAUAAUUGUGAUUUUAUAAGCGAAGAGAAGAUGGUAUUUGCAUGGAACAGGGUUUUGCAAAGCUCUCCUUUUAAUAAGCCUCUAUCGCCUUUCCAAGAGUGGAACAUAGAUUUCUCUGAGCUUACAAUUGGUACACGGGUUGGAAUAGGAUUCUUUGGAGAGGUUUUCCGUGGUAUAUGGAAUGGCACUGAUGUCGCCAUCAAAGUAUUUCUGGAGCAGGAUCUGACGACUGAAAACAUGGAAGAUUUUUGCAAUGAGAUAUACAUCCUGAGCCGGCUGCGGCAUCCAAAUGUAAUAUUGUUCCUUGGGGCAUGCAUGGUACCUCCGCACCUGUCAAUGGUUACUGAAUAUAUGGAAAUGGGAUCACUGUACUAUCUCAUCCAUAUGAGUGGUCACAAAAAGAAACUCAGCUGGCGCAGGAGGCUGAAAAUUAUUCGUGAUAUAUGCAGGGGAUUGAUGUGCAUACACCGCAUGAAGAUAGUUCACAGGGACCUGAAAAGUGCCAACUGUCUGGUGAACAAGUAUUGGACUGUCAAGAUAUGUGACUUUGGCCUUUCUCGAGCGAUAACAGAUAGUCCUAUGACUGAUAACUCCUCUGCUGGCACACCAGAAUGGAUGGCCCCUGAGCUCAUAAGGAACGGACCCUUCUCAGAAAAAUGUGACAUUUUCAGCCUUGGUGUGAUAAUGUGGGAGCUGUGCACAUUGAGCCGCCCAUGGGAUGGGAUCGGCCCAGUUAAAGUGGUGUAUGCAGUUACUGAAGGGUCGCUGCUUGAAAUUCCAAAAGGGCCUCUUGGCAAGUUAAUUGCAGAUUGCUGGGCAGAGCCCCAGGAUCGGCCGAGCUGCCAGGAGAUCCUCGCUCGCUUGCUGGACUGCGAGUACGCUGAUAGCUGA
rnacentral:rRNA from 1 species